rnacentral:rRNA from 1 species
GAUGAACGCUGGCGGCGUGCUUAAUACAUGCAAGUCGAACGAAGGUUGUAGCAAUACAUCCUUAGUGGCGAACGGGUGAGUAACGCGUUGGUGACCUGCCCCGAAGUGCGGGAUAACAGUCCGAAAGGAUUGCUAAUACCGCAUGGUUUCAUUUGGAUUAGAUGCCAGAUGAGCAAAGGCGAAAGUCGCUUCGGGAGGGGCUUGCGUCCCAUCAGCUAGUUGGUAGGGUAAUGGCCUACCAAGGCAAUGACGGGUAGGGGACCUGAGAGGGUGGCCCCCCACAAUGGAACUGAAACACGGUCCAUACACCUACGGGUGGCAGCAGUAGGGAAUAUUGGUUAAUGUGCGAAAGCGCGAACCAGCAACGCCGCGUGCACGAUGAAGGCCUUCGGUUGUAAAGUGCUUUUGAGGGAUGAGGAAGGACAGUACCCUCAGAAUAAGUCUCGGCCAACUACGUG